UCGAAUGAGAGCGCAACAGUGGGCGCAACAGCACCCCGCUAAUAAGACAGGUCAAGGUAUAGCCUAUGGGACGGAAGAAAUGGGCUACAUUCCCUAUGCAUAGGGCAACACGGAAAGAAGUAUGAAACUGCUUCUAG
rnacentral:rRNA from 1 species